AGAGAGGUGUCCGAGUGGUUGAAGGAGCUCGCCUGGAAAGCGGGUAUACCGCCAAAAGCGGUAUCGAGGGUUCGAAUCCCUUCCUCUCUG
rnacentral:tRNA from 1 species